UCCUGGGACAGCUCAGUUGGUAGAGCCUUAGACUAUUAAUCUCAGGGUUGUGGGUUCGAGCCCCACCUUGGGCA